ensembl:lncRNA
ACACCCAAUAGUGAAGUUCACCCUGGACUCUGAAAAUCCAAUUUGGAAUUUCUUUUUCCUUUGAAGGGGAGAAGAAUGUGGGUGCAGAGGUAAGCAGGAGAACUGAAGCAUUUCCUGUCUCAAAAGAUCACCCCAGGUAGCCAUCUCACAGCAUCCAUCUAUCGAUUCUCCCUGCGCAAGGUGAAGAAGAAACCACUGGAGAAGGUAAGGCUUUCACUACCCAAGAGCACUGACUCAAAAUUAAAUGUAUCUAAUACACUGUAAACUGAAACUUUAAAAAUAUUCUUGCAAUACUACUUGAGGCAAUUGAUUUUGGAAAUUACUAGAAGCAAGAGACUAUUUUUCUUUCCUCUGCUACAAGACCUCUUUUGUGGAAAAGAAAC